GCUGGGCGUGGUGGCACAUGCCUGUAAUCUCAACAGCUUGGGAGGCUGAGACAGGAGGAUCAUGAGUUCAAAGCCAGCCUCAGCAAAAGUGACACAGUAAGCAAAUCAGUGAGAUCCUGUUUCUA
rnacentral:sRNA from 1 species